rnacentral:rRNA from 1 species
UACGGAGGGGGCUAGCGUUGUUCGGAAUUACUGGGCGUAAAGCGUACGUAGGCGGCUUUGUAAGUUAGAGGUGAAAGCCCGGGGCUCAACUCCGGAAUUGCCUUUAAGACUGCAUCGCUUGAAUCAUGGAGAGGUUAGUGGAAUUCCGAGUGUAGAGGUGAAAUUCGUAGAUAUUCGCAAGAACACCAGUGGCGAAGGCGGCUCACUGGCCCGAUACUGACGCUGAGGCACGAAAGCGUGGGGAGCAAACAGG